AAGCGUUCUUCAAAGACUCGAUCACCCAGAUGAAAACACAGUUCAAGAAGUAAGAUAAAGCAUGAAGUAGUGUUGGUAGAGACACAGGUUUCUGCAAGGCAUUCUGAACAAAACUAAAAUGGUAGCUGGAGCACACAUCAGAGAUACUGCCUUGUGAAUUUGACAUUGCUGGCCUUCAGGAUGAAGAUAUUUUAUUGAUAAAGCAAAAAGCACACGAUCUUAAUUACCAGGUGGGUGGCAAGUACAUCUGAAAAGAAAUUCAUUAAAGCCAGGCCAGUUGAAAAUGUUUGUCGGAGCUUGAAUCCACCAUUGUUUUGCUUCUUUUAUUUUUUUCCUUUUCUUUUCUAUAUGUUGGGGUUGAUUUGUUGAUAUUCUAUGGAUAAGGUAUGUCAUCACAGUCUCCUUGCCUCUGCUGCCAAGAAACACCAGGUUCUUGUAUCUGAUAAGCGUCAAAUUUCAUACAUAAUCUUCUAAAUAGGAAUCUAGAGUCUGUUUAGCUGCUGGAUUCAGUAAAAAUGUACCUCAUUGUAAUAAAUUUUUUAAUUUCUUGCAAGCAUGAUGAUGAUGAUUGUGAUGUGCU